GACGAACGCUGGCGGCGUGCUUAACACAUGCAAGUCGAACGGAAAGGCCCUGCUUUUGUGGGGUGCUCGAGUGGCGAGCGGGUGAGUAACACGUGAGUAACCUGCCCUUGACUUUGGGAUAACUUCAGGAAACUGGGGCUAAUACCGGAUAGGAGCUCCUGCUGCAUGGUGGGGGUUGGAAAGUUUCGGCGGUUGGGGAUGGACUCGCGGCUUAUCAGCUUGUUGGUGGGGUAGUGGCUUAUCAAGGCUUUGACGGGUAGCCGGCCUGAGAGGGUGACCGGCCACAUUGGGACUGAGAUACGGCCCAGACUCCUACGGGAGGCAGCAGUGGGGAAUAUUGCACAAUGGGCGGAAGCCUGAUGCAGCAACGCCGCGUGCGGGAUGACGGCCUUCGGGUUGUAAACCGCUUUCGCCUGUGACGAAGCGUGAGUGACGGUAAUGGGUAAAGAAGCACCGGCUAACUACGUG
rnacentral:rRNA from 1 species